rnacentral:rRNA from 1 species
CCUACGGGGGGCUGCAGUGGGGAAUUUUGGACAAUGGGCGCAAGCCUGAUCCAGCCAUGCCGCGUGCGGGAAGAAGGCCUUCGGGUUGUAAACCGCUUUUGUCAGGGAAGAAAAGGUUCGAGCUAAUACCUCGGACUAAUGACGGUACCUGAAGAAUAAGCACCGGCUAACUACGUGCCAGCAGCCGCGGUAAUACGUAGGGUGCAAUCGUUAAUCGGAAUUACUGGGGGGAAAACGUGCGCAGGCGGUGAAAUCCCCGGGCUCAACCGUGGAACUGCAUUUGUGACUGCACGACUUGAGUACGGUAGAGGGGGAUGGAAUUCCGCGUGUAGCAGUGAAAUGCGUAGAUAUGCGGAGGAACACCGAUGGCGAAGGCAAUCCCCUGGACCUGUACUGACGCUCAGGCACGAAAGCGUGGGGAGCAAACAGGAUUAGAUACCCCGGUAGUC